rnacentral:rRNA from 1 species
UCCUACGGGGCGCAGCAGUGAGGAAUAUUGGUCAAUGGCCGGAAGGCUGAACCAGCCAAGCCGCGUGAAGGACGAAGGUGCCAAGCAUUGUAAACUUCUUUUGUCAAGGGACAAAAUCAGGCUCGAGAGCCUGACCGAGGGUACUUGAAGAAAAAGCAUCGGCUAACUCCGUGCCAGCAGCCGCGGUAAUACGGAGGAUGCGAGCGUUAUCCGGAUUUAUUGGGUGUAAAGGGAACGCAGGCGGUCUUUUAAGUCUGAUGUGAAAGCCUUCGGCUUAACCGGAGUAGUGCAUUGGAAACUGGGAG